GGGGAUGUAGCUCAGGGGUAGAGCGCUUGCUUCGCAUGAUUCUUGUAUUUGCAUGAGGCCUUGGGUUCGAUUCCCAACUUCUCCA